UGAACCUUAAAGGAGGAUCAACUUGAUAACUUAGAGUAGACUAGUUAUCAACUUUGAUCUUCUUAUAAGGUCUG
rnacentral:pre_miRNA from 1 species